GAUGAACGCUGGCGGCGUGCCUAAUACAUGCAAGUCGAGCGAACAGAUAAGGAGCUUGCUCCUUUGACGUUAGCGGCGGACGGGUGAGUAACACGUGGGUAACCUACCUAUAAGACUGGGAUAACUUCGGGAAACCGGAGCUAAUACCGGAUAACAUUUGGAACCGCAUGGUUCUAAAGUGAAAGAUGGUUUUACUAUCACUUAUAGAUGGACCCGCGCCGUAUUAGCUAGUUGGUAAGGUAACGGCUUACCAAGGCAACGAUACGUAGCCGACCUGAGAGGGUGAUCAGCCACACUGGAACUGAGACACGGUCCAGACUCCUACGGGAGGCAGCAGUAGGGAAUCUUCCGCAAUGGGCGAAAGCCUGACGGAGCAACGCCGCGUGAGUGAUGAAGGGUUUCGGCUCGUAAAACUCUGUUAUUAGGGAAGAACAAAUGUGUAAGUAACUGUGCACGUCUUGACGGUACCUAAUCAGAAAGCCACGGCUAACUACGUG
rnacentral:rRNA from 1 species